GGAGGCAUAGUUCAGUAGUUAGAACACUCCCCUGAUAAGGGAGAGGUCGGUGGUGCGAUCCCACCUGUCUCCACCA
rnacentral:tRNA from 1 species